UGAUGCAGCCAUGCCGCGUGUGUGAAGAAGGCCUUCGGGUUGUAAAGCACUUUCAGUAGGGAGGAAGGUAGUGCAGUUAACACCUGCAUUAUUUGACGUUACCUACAGAAGAAGCACCGGCUAACUCCGUGCCAGCAGCCGCGGUAAUACGGAGGGUGCGAGCGUUAAUCGGAAUUACUGGGCGUAAAGCGCAUGCAGGCGGCCUGUUAAGUCAGAUGUGAAAGCCCCGGGGCUUAACCUCGGAAUUGCAUUUGAAACUGGCAGGCUAGAGUCUUGUAGAGGGGGUAGAAUUUCAGGUGUAGCGGUGAAAUGCGUAGAGAUCUGAAGGAAUACCGGUGGCGAAGGCGGCCCCCUGGACAGAUACUGACACUCCAGAUGCGAAAAGCGUCGGGGAGCAAACAGGAUUAGAUACCCUGGUAG
rnacentral:rRNA from 1 species